AUGAACGCUGGCGGCGUGCCUAAUCCAUGCAAGUCGAGCGAACGGACGAGAAGCUUGCUUUUCUGAUGUUAGCGGCGGACGGGUGAGUAACACGUGGAUAACCUACCUAUAAGACUGGGAUAACUUCGGGAAACCGGAGCUAAUACCGGAUAAUAUUUUGAACCGCAUGGUUCAAAAGUGAAAGACGGUCUUGCUGUCACUUAUAGAUGGAUCCGCGCUGCAUUAGCUAGUUGGUAAGGUAACGGCUUACCAAGGCAACGAUGCAUAGCCGACCUGAGAGGGUGAUCGGCCACACUGGAACUGAGACACGGUCCAGACUCCUACGGGAGGCAGCAGUAGGGAAUCUUCCGCAAUGGGCGAAAGCCUGACGGAGCAACGCCGCGUGAGUGAUGAAGGUCUUCGGAUCGUAAAACUCUGUUAUUAGGGAAGAACAUAUGUGUAAGUAACUGUGCACAUCUUGACGGUACCUAAUCAGAAAGCCACGGCUAACUACGU
rnacentral:rRNA from 1 species